rnacentral:rRNA from 1 species
UUGCUGUGGUAUUGUGACUAUACAAAGGUAUUGUAAUAAGGCUUUAAAUGGGUGCUAAAAGAAUGGUCUAACAAGGAUUGACUUUCUUUUUUUCUAAAAUGGAAUUUGAUUUAAAAAUGAAAAAGUUUUUAUGUAAUUUUGGGACAAGAAGACCCUAUGAAUUUUGCAUUAAAAAGAUUUAUGAAUUAACUAUAAUAAUUAAUAGGGGUUUUAAUGUUGGUUGGGGUGAUUUUUAAAGAUUAUGUAUCUUUAUAAAAAAAAUUAUAAAAUAGAUCCAUUAUUAGUGGAUAUUUGUAAAAAUACUCUAGGGAUAACAGCGUAAUAACUUUGGAUAGAUCUUAUAGAUAAAGUGGUUUGCGACCUCGAUGUUGGAUUAGGAUUCUUUUGAGAUGAAGAAGUCUUAGAAAGAAGUUUGCUCAACUUUUAAAAUCUUACAUGAU